rnacentral:rRNA from 1 species
UACGAAGGGGGCUAGCGUUGUUCGGAAUCACUGGGCGUAAAGCGCGUGUAGGCGGCCUUCUUAGUCUGGUGUGAAAGCCCGGGGCUCACCCCCGGAAGUGCAUUGGAUACUGGAAGGCUGGAGUACCGGAGAGGAGGGUGGAAUUCCUGGUGUAGCGGUGAAAUGCGUAGAUAUCAAGUGGAACACCAGUGGCGAAGGCGAAUCCCUGGAAAAUACCUGACACUGAGGCACGAAAGCUAGGGGAGCAAACAGG